UCUCACACAGAUUUAACUCACACAGAUUUUAUAAAGCCACGGAUAUCUGUGUGCAUUGGCAAUAUAUACAGAAAACCGUGUGAAAUAAGUAAAAUUGGGCCCACAAGAGUUUAUGGAAUAAUAAUAGCCACAGAUGUCUGUGUGAAAAAUAUCACAUACAGACAUCCGUGUGAAAAAUAAAAUAUUUUAUUACCUACUCACACGGUUGUCCGUGUGAAGCCUAGUUCACACACAUUUCUGUAUAUAUUAAAUAUAAGUUUAUUAAAAAAUCAUUGUUUUUUUGUGCUAUAUGAAUUGUAGAGAGACGGUUUUUCGUUGCUAAAAUAGUUUAACACAGAUAUCUGUAUGAAAUGAGCAUCACACAGAUAUCUGUGUGAGAUGAAGAUACGGAUGUCCGUGUGAGAAAACAAUAUGCAUACAGAUAUCUGUAAAAAUUACAUAUGUUUUUCACACGAAUUCUGUUGCAAUUUUACCCAUUAAACCAUUUGUAACCUAACCUAAACUCCAUUUUCUCCAUCAUCAUUAUCGCCCCUCUUUCUCUGUCACUAUUGCCUCUCUCUCUCUCUCUCUCCCCCUCCCUCCUUCCUCCUCGUCACUCUGCCGCCUCAUCCAACCUCCUUCCUCUAAUCACCUUCUUCCUCCCUCAGAAAAGCUUAGCCUUCCCCCAACCCCAUAUCUCCAUUCUCAACAGAUGCAAUUACGGUUUAAUUGAAAAAACAAGAGAUCGACAAAAGCAAUUUGAAGCGGUUGGGGUCAUCAGUAGCAGAGCUCACCCUGUCCUUGACCUCUACCCGAGCUCAGGGAUCCAUGGACAGAUCGAUCCUAUUUCAUUUUCUCUUUCCCUCUCUCUCAUUCUUUAUGUCUCAAUCUCCAAUUAAUUCCUCUCGAAAUUAAUGGGUACUGGAAACUAUGUGAUAUUGAUGUGGCUUGUUUAGAGAUGAACAUGAUAAGGGUAGGAGGAUGUAGACCUGAUUUUGUUACUUUCAAUACAUUGUUUAAUGGGUUUUGUAAGGUUGAGGUGAGGAGAGAAGUGUUUGCGUAUAUGGGUUUGAUGUGUCGCCGAAUUUUUUGGCUCUUACUUCUUUGAUUGAUGGGUAUUUGUAAGGUUGGUAAUUUGAAGAUUGCAAUUAGAUUGCUUGGAUAACCUUUUUACCUUACUUGAUUUUCAGAUUCCUGCAAGAGGAAAACCAAUUGGUCCAGGACCACCACCAUAACUCCCUCAACCCCGGCGAACGCACAGAGAGAGCGAACUUCUUCUUUAUUGUAGAAAUUAAAAUUGGUUGUUAAUGCUUAGUUCUUUUCUGUUUCCAGUAGUUGAAUGACUUAAAAAUAGAUGGUAAAUCGAAUGGCUUUUAUAUAUAUAUAUAUUCAUGCAUAAUUUCUUAUAUGUGUAGAUACCCGACGCUUGUAUUCAAGUUUGGGUAGCAAGAUAAAUUGAGUAGUGCAACAUAGAAUAAUAUUUGGGUUGUGGGUUAUUGUUAAUUUUCAGUUUAGGUUGUUUCAGUGAGUGGUUAUUUUAAGAAAUUCUGGGUUGUGGGUUUUGUUUCACCAGGCUGAGAUUGAAGAAGGUUUCACAAAGAAAUUCUGGGUUCUGGGUUCUAUUUGUAUUUUUUAUUUCUGUUUUUGAACCUAUAAAUGUGUAGGUUUUGCUUCUAAAAGGGUUGGUUUUGAUUAUAAAUGGUUUUGAACCUCAGAUUAUCUAAUUGCUUUCUUUCUUUCUGUCUUUUGUAUGAAUUUGAUUGAUCAAUCAAUUUCUAUUCUUAUUCUCUUCUUUUUGACUUGUUGGUGAAGUGUAGAUUCACUAUAUGCAGAUGGAAUAAUUGGCUAAACACUGAGUUGUAAUCAAUGGGCAAUUGGGGCUGGCUUUGCCAAUUGGUACUUGGUUGGAUGGAGUAUGGGAUAAAUCCAACAGAUUGGAACUGUCAACGGCAACUAUGGAAGGGUAGAACUGGAGCUGAUCAAGGGUUUAGAACUUCAUCUUGUUGCCAAUGUAAUCUUUUUGUAUACAGUUAGUUUAUGAUGUAACUUGAAGUCAUUUGAAAUGAUAUAUUUUUUUUCUAGUUAGUUCUGGGUACCAAUAUCAA